UGAAUUUCUACGGAUCAGCGCCGACAGCAGCAGAGUAGAGCAGCAGUCCGCAGUAGCAGCGCGUUUUCAACAUUGAUUUGUCCAGAUCACAGUUGUUCAAACACUGUUGGAAAGUGUUCUUCUUUGCCACAGUGGUCCAUAAUUAACUUUUGCUUGGUUGGCACCUUCAAACUGAUAUAAGGAGGAUGGGGCCCCUGGAUCCCCCUAAGUCAGACACUUUCUUCCUCUGUGGGUCCUCCAAGUAAUACAUUUUCAUCUGUAGUGGGAAAAAAAGAGAUCCUUCACCAUGAGUACGGACGCAGAGAUGGAGCAAUAUGGCAAGGCUGCCAUAUACCUCCGUAAGCCUGAAAGGGAGAGAAUUG